rnacentral:rRNA from 1 species
GGAAACCCAGUGUGACUCGUCACACUAUCAUUAACUGAAUCCAUAGGUUAAUGAGGCGAACCGGGGGAACUGAAACAUCUAAGUACCCCGAGGAAAAGAAAUCAACCGAGAUUCCCCCAGUAGCGGCGAGCGAACGGGGAGGAGCCCAGAGCCUGAAUCAGCAUGUGUGUUAGUGGAAGCGUCUGGAAAGGCGCGCGAUACAGGGUGACAGCCCCGUACACAAAAGCGCAUGUGYUGUGAGCUCGAUGAGUAGGGCGGGACACGUGGUAUCCUGUCUGAAUAUGGGGGGACCAUCCUCCAAGGCUAAAUACUCCUGACUGACCGAUAGUGAACCAGUACCGUGAGGGAAAGGCGAAAAGAACCCCGGCGAGGGGAGUGAAAAAGAACCUGAAACCGUGUACGUACAAGCAGUGGGAGCCCCACCACUAAGCCAGUGGUGAACUCCACAUACGCAUCCUUUGCUGAAGGCAAUGGUUAACGGAGCGAAAGCGACGUUCAACCUCAAAAGAAGCAGAGGGGGCUUAGUGGUGGGGUGACUGCGUACCUUUUGUAUAAUGGGUCAGCGACUUAUAUUCUGUAGCAAGGUUAACCGAAUAGGGGAGCCGGAGGGAAACCGAGUCUUAAUUGGGCGUUAAGUUGCAGGGUAUAGACCCGAAACCCGGUGAUCUAGCCAUGGGCAGGUUGAAGGUUGGGUAACACUAACUGGAGGACCGAACCGACUAAUGUUGAAAAAUUAGCGGAUGACCUGUGG